GGUUAAGCGACUAAGCGUACACGGUGGAUGCCCUGGCAGUCAGAGGCGAUGAAGGACGUGCUAAUCUGCGAUAAGCGUCGGUAAGGUGAUAUGAACCGUUAUAACCGGCGAUUUCCGAAUGGGGAAACCCAGUGUGUUUCGACACACUAUCAUUAACUGAAUCCAUAGGUUAAUGAGGCGAACCGGGGGAACUGAAACAUCUAAGUACCCCGAGGAAAAGAAAUCAACCGAGAUUCCCCCAGUAGCGGCGAGCGAACGGGGAGCAGCCCAGAGUCUGAAUCAGUGUGUGUGUUAGUGGAAGUGUCUGGAAAGGCGCGCGAUACAGGGUGACAGCCCCGUACACAAAAAUGCACAUGCUGUGAGCUCGAUGAGUAGGGCGGGACACGUGGUAUCCUGUCUGAAUAUGGGGGGACCAUCCUCCAAGGCUAAAUACUCCUGACUGACCGAUAGUGAACCAGUACCGUGAGGGAAAGGCGAAAAGAACCCCGGCGAGGGGAGUGAAAAAGAACCUGAAACCGUGUACGUACAAGCAGUGGGAGCCCUGAUUUAUCAGGGUGACUGCGUACCUUUUGUAUAAUGGGUCAGCGACUUAUAUUCUGUAGCAAGGUUAACCGAAUAGGGGAGCCGGAGGGAAACCGAGUCUUAACUGGGCGUUAAGUUGCAGGGUAUAGACCCGAAACCCGGUGAGCUAGCCAUGGGCAGGUUGAAGGUUGGGUAACACUAACUGGAGGACCGAACCGACUAAUGUUGAAAAAUUAGCGGAUGACUUGUGGCUGGGGGUGAAAGGCCAAUCAAACCGGGAGAUAGCUGGUUCUCCCCGAAAGCUAUUUAGGUAGCGCCUCGUGAAUUCAUCUCCGGGGGUAGAGCACUGUUUCGGCAAGGGGGUCAUCCCGACUUACCAACCCGAUGCAAACUGCGAAUACCGGAGAAUGUUAUCACGGGAGACACACGGCGGGUGCUAACGUCCGUCGUGAAGAGGGAAACAACCCAGACCGCCAGCUAAGGUCCCAAAGUCAUGGUUAAGUGGGAAACGAUGUGGGAAGGCCCAGACAGCCAGGAUGUUGGCUUAGAAGCAGCCAUCAUUUAAAGAAAGCGUAAUAGCUCACUGGUCGAGUCGGCCUGCGCGGAAGAUGUAACGGGGCUAAACCAUGCACCGAAGCUGCGGCAGCGACACUGUGUGUUGUUGGGUAGGGGAGCGUUCUGUAAGCCUGUGAAGGUGUGCUGUGAGGCAUGCUGGAGGUAUCAGAAGUGCGAAUGCUGACAUAAGUAACGAUAAAGCGGGUGAAAAGCCCGCUCGCCGGAAGACCAAGGGUUCCUGUCCAACGUUAAUCGGGGCAGGGUGAGUCGACCCCUAAGGCGAGGCCGAAAGGCGUAGUCGAUGGGAAACAGGUUAAUAUUCCUGUACUUGGUGUUACUGCGAAGGGGGGACGGAGAAGGCUAUGUUGGCCGGGCGACGGUUGUCCCGGUUUAAGCGUGUAGGCUGGUUUUCCAGGCAAAUCCGGAGAAUCAAGGCUGAGGCGUGAUGACGAGGCACUACGGUGCUGAAGCAACAAAUGCCCUGCUUCCAGGAAAAGCCUCUAAGCAUCAGGUAACAUCAAAUCGUACCCCAAACCGACACAGGUGGUCAGGUAGAGAAUACCAAGGCGCUUGAGAGAACUCGGGUGAAGGAACUAGGCAAAAUGGUGCCGUAACUUCGGGAGAAGGCACGCUGAUAUGUAGGUGAAGCGACUUGCUCGUGGAGCUGAAAUCAGUCGAAGAUACCAGCUGGCUGCAACUGUUUAUUAAAAACACAGCACUGUGCAAACACGAAAGUGGACGUAUACGGUGUGACGCCUGCCCGGUGCCGGAAGGUUAAUUGAUGGGGUCAGCGCAAGCGAAGCUCUUGAUCGAAGCCCCGGUAAACGGCGGCCGUAACUAUAACGGUCCUAAGGUAGCGAAAUUCCUUGUCGGGUAAGUUCCGACCUGCACGAAUGGCGUAAUGAUGGCCAGGCUGUCUCCACCCGAGACUCAGUGAAAUUGAACUCGCUGUGAAGAUGCAGUGUACCCGCGGCAAGACGGAAAGACCCCGUGAACCUUUACUAUAGCUUGACACUGAACACUGGUCCUUGAUGUGUAGGAUAGGUGGGAGGCUUUGAAGUGUGGACGCCAGUCUGCAUGGAGCCGUCCUUGAAAUACCACCCUUUAAUGGCUGGUGUUCUAACGUUGGCCCCUUACCGGGGUUGCGGACAGUGUCUGGUGGGUAGUUUGACUGGGGCGGUCUCCUCCUAAAGAGUAACGGAGGAGCACGAAGGUUGGCUAAUCCUGGUCGGACAUCAGGAGGUUAGUGCAAUGGCAUAAGCCAGCUUGACUGCGAGCGUGACGGCGCGAGCAGGUGCGAAAGCAGGUCAUAGUGAUCCGGUGGUUCUGAAUGGAAGGGCCAUCGCUCAACGGAUAAAAGGUACUCCGGGGAUAACAGGCUGAUACCGCCCAAGAGUUCAUAUCGACGGCGGUGUUUGGCACCUCGAUGUCGGCUCAUCACAUCCUGGGGCUGAAGUAGGUCCCAAGGGUAUGGCUGUUCGCCAUUUAAAGUGGUACGCGAGCUGGGUUUAGAACGUCGUGAGACAGUUCGGUCCCUAUCUGCCGUGGGCGCUGGAGAACUGAGGGGGGCUGCUCCUAGUACGAGAGGACCGGAGUGGACGCAUCACUGGUGUUCGGGUUGUCAUGCCAAUGGCACUGCCCGGUAGCUAAAUGCGGAAGAGAUAAGUGCUGAAAGCAUCUAAGCACGAAACUUGCCCCGAGAUGAGUUCUCCCUGAGACCUGGAGUCUCCUGAAGGAACGUUGAAGACGACGACGUUGAUAGGCCGGGUGUGUAAGCGCAGCGAUGCGUUGAGCUAACCGGUACUAAUGAACCGUGAGGCUUAACCUU
rnacentral:rRNA from 1 species